UCGUAGUCAAUCCCCACAGCCACGCGAACUCUAAGUCAGCCACGAAUAGGCUAUCCCAACUAACGGCGGGAAAGACUCCACGGAGGGUGUAAGACCCGUGUGGGCGCGUGUCAAUGCUGUGCGGGCUCGGCCUCUUUUCCCUGAGAGUCGCGUUGCUUGAGCAUGCAGCGCUAAGCAGGUCGUAAACUCGAUCUAAGGCUAAAUAUGUCCACAGAACCGAUAGCGAACAAGUACCGUGAGGGAAAGUUGAAAAGCACUCUGGAGAGAGAGUCAAAAGACCGUGAAACCGCUCAGAGUAUAAGCCCAUGGCAGCUUGGAAGGCAUAUCGCUAGCGGGGCAUCGGUCUUCUCUUCCCCUUCGCGGGGGGAGGGGAGCUGGUGUUACCUUGCUUUUGUUGUGGCUCGUCACGGUAGGGGGGUCAAGUCCACAUCCCGCCGUCGAGUGGAGAGUUCUCGGGUGCGUUGAUGCCUUUCGGUUGAUUUCGGUUGAUCGUUGGGCUCUUCGUGCUCGGUUCUCUUUGAACACGGACGUUCAGACUCAAUUGCAAGACGCGAUAACCAGCCCACCACGGCACGUUGUGAGGUCACCCUCAGGCUCAACUUUCGAUUGUGGUCCUUGACGCCGAGCAAGCACAAUGCGUGUCGCAAAUGUUCCUAACCAGGCAGCCAAUCGCCAGGAUCGUGGAACCACACGCGCUCAACAGUCAGGACCGGGCGAUGACAGAGUUCUGGUAUGAUCCUCUUGCGACGAGCCGGCUUCUGGCCAACUUCCGAUGCACAGUUCUCCCGCAUGUGCCGCGGGAGAUCGAGUCGACGGUCUGGAGCUUUUACAAGUCCUCUCAGUCGGGCAACGGAAAGAGUGGUGUAAAGUCCAAGCCCAUCGGUCACGUCUCGAAACACGGGCCAAGGAGUAUAGCAUGUGUGCAAGUCUAAGAGUCUCACAAAACUCGAAGGCGCAGUGAAAGCAAGUACGCGGCGGGUGAUCUACGGAGAGAUCCCGUCAGCUUGAGGGUCCUACGGGGCUCUCCGGCUUUGGCAGAGUUGAUCCUGCAGCGGUACCUCCUAAGUACGCUCAGGCGCAAACUCCAGGCUCACGUUUCGCACUGGUUCUCGGACUGUGCUGUGAGCACUGUGGAGCAUGCAUGCUAUGACCCGAAAGAUAGUGAACUAUGCCUGGCGAGGGCGAAGCCCC
rnacentral:rRNA from 1 species